rfam:Ovis aries breed Texel chromosome 1, whole genome shotgun sequence.
UCCUGGUGGCUCAGAUUGUAAAGAGCCUGCCUGCAAUGCAGGAGACCUGGGUUCAAUCCCUGGGUCAGGAA